rnacentral:rRNA from 1 species
AUAUUGCACAAUGGAGGGAACUCUGAUCCUGCAACGCCGCGUGAGUGAAGAUGGUUUNNNGAUCGNAAAAUUAUGUCUUUGGGNAAANAUAAAUGACGGUACCCAAGGAGGAAGCCUCGGCUACCCACGUACUAUUAGGCGCGGUAAUCCGUAGGGGGCGAGCGUUGUCCGGAAUUAUUGGGCGUAAAGGGUACGUAGUCGGCUAUAUAAGUAAGGUGUGAAAUACCAGUGCUUAACACUGGAAUUGCAUUUGAAACUGUGUAGCUUGAGUGCAGGAGAGGAAAGUGGAAUUCCGAGUGUAGCGGUGAAAUGCGUAGAGAUUAGGAGGGACACCAGUGGCGAAGGCGACUUUCUGGACUGUAACUGACGCUGAGGUACGAAAGCGUGGGUAGCGAACA